GGAUUAGAUACCCUGGUAGUCCACGCCCUAAACGAUGCGAACUGGACGUUGGGAUCAAUUGAGAUUUCAGUGUCGAAGCUAACGCGUUAAGUUCGCCGCCUGGGGAGUACGGUCGCAAGACUGAAACUCAAAGGAAUUGACGGGGGCCCGCACAAGCGGUGGAGUAUGUGGUUUAAUUCGAUGCAACGCGAAGAACCUUACCUGGUCUUGACAUGUACGGAAUCCUUUAGAGAUAGAGGAGUGCCUUCGGGAACCGUAACACAGGUGCUGCAUGGCUGUCGUCAGCUCGUGCCG
rnacentral:rRNA from 1 species